rnacentral:rRNA from 1 species
UGGUAGGAAUACCCGCUGAACUUAAGCAUAUCAAUAAGCGGAGGAAAAGAAACCAACAGGGAUUGCCUUAGUAACGGCGAGUGAAGCGGCAACAGCUCAAAUUUGAAAUCUGGCCCUUGGGUCCGAAUUGUAAUUUGUAGAGGAUGAUUUUGGUGCGGUAUCUUCCGAGUUCCUUGGAACAGGACGCCUUAGAGGGUGAGAGCCCCGUACGGUUGAAUGCCUAGCCUCUGUAAAUCUCCUUCGACGAGUCGAGUAGUUUGGGAAUGCUGCUCUAAAUGGGAGGUAAAUUUCUUCUAAAGCUAAAUAUUGGCCAGAGACCGAUAGCGCACAAGUAGAGUGAUCGAAAGAUGAAAAGCACUUUGAAAAGAGGGUUAAAUAGCACGUGAAA